rnacentral:lncRNA from 1 species
GCUCAAAUAUUGAUAUUAUAGUGAAUAUAAAACAUUAUUGUUUAUAUUAUUUAUUAUUUUAUGUUAUUAUUAUCAUAGAUGAAUAUACAGAAGCUCUAAAGGUAAGAACACCAGUCUUUUUUGUGAUGCACAAGCCAAAGCUGAGCCAUGCAUGCUGAUAUCAUUAGAAUUUGUUAAAUUCCCCUGGCUUUUAACAAAAUGUUUUCGUGAUUUAUUUUUUCAUUUAGAGUGCAUUUAAACAGGCCAACCAGCUACACAUGAAUGUCUAUAAGAUGAAGGGUCAGGCAGAGGGUGGUGCAGUGAAGGCAGAGCUGAAAGAACUAAAGAUAGAUCCCAGACCAGCUCCGCCAUAUCGAGCAAGGGUCAAGAUGGCAGACAAGGAGACCCAGGUGACCCCCGAGCGGGACUCGGCUGUGGCCAAAGAAAACAAAGGGAUGAAAACCGAGGAGGAAGCAGUACCAACAUGGUUUAAAUCCUACAUGGACAGGUUCAAAGAUCAAGUGGUAAGGGAGGUGGUUGACAGGAUGUGUAGUGAGUUUUCUGGUCAGUGUUGCACACACAGUCUCUCGGAUCCUCCUGUAGAGGAGCCAAGCACCUCUGGCAUUCAGAAAGCUAUAAGCUCCACCACGCUAAGGGCCUCUAGCUCAACUCCAAAUUGCAGUAGUUGCAAAGGACCAGCCACUGGAGGAGGAUAUCAGUGCAGGUGAGAAUGUCCUAAAACUUGUCUUACAAAUGAUACUCUUUAAAAAUAUUUAAUAAGCAGACACUAUUUGAAAAAAAACUGAAUUACAGGUUGUCAAAUGUAAAGCUUAUUAUGAAACAUUUUCCUUCUUCUGUGUGCAGUGUUUGUCCAUCUUGCAUCUUAUGUG